GCCCGAGUGGCGGAAUGGUAGACGCAGGGGAUUCAAAAUCCCCCGCCGCAAGGCGUGUGGGUUCGAAUCCCACCUCGGGCACCA
rnacentral:tRNA from 2 species